UUGGCUUUGUUUCUCUUUUCUAUAAGCAUAUAAUUCCAUUGAUUUGGUUAUUUUACUUUUGCAGCAUUCUUAUGUACACUUGAUCUUAAUGGAUACAUUUUCACACUUUUAGUUCAUCUUGGUCAUUUGAAGCUGUACAAGUUUGAGGAGAUGAGAAGGGUCACCAUUAACUUCAGUCAAAAAAUAUUUUGGGAGGAUAUGGAAUAGCAUAGGGUUGUUUGCCUGAUGGCACUAUUGUAGCUGUCAAACGACUGAAGAAUCAUGCUUUGGAUACUGGGGGUGAUCAAUUCCACAGAGAAGUUGAAGUGAUAAGCUCGAUUCUUCAUCACAAUCUCCUUCCCCUAUCUGGUUUCUGCGCUACAAACGAUGAAAGGCUCCUUGUGUAUCCUGACAUGGAAAAUGGAACAGUUGCUUCUAAAUUACAAGAGUGUGUGAAUGGGAAACAGAUAGUACUGAUCCCUCCUAUUAGCUAAAAAAACGAGGGUACUAUUGGAACAGAGAGGGUACUGUUGUAGCAGGCAAACAAUAUCUUGGUGCAGUUCGACCGCGGUUGCUAGUCAACACAUAAGGAGAUACAGUGUGGCUAACAUCAGUCGUCAUUGGAGACAUAGUCUGGAUGACAUCAGAUAUUGUGGUGCACUAUGCACCAUUGUUGCUGCCCCGGUGAUGCCAAGGAACUCCUCAAACAAAACCAAUAAGCUCCUUUGUGGACAAGAAGUUAAGAAAAAACUAUGAUAGCGACAAAUUGAUGGAGAUGGUUCAUAUAGCAUUGCUCUGCACAAUGUACAACCCUGACCACCGUCCGAGGAUGUCUAACAUUUUUAGGAUGCUUGAAGGAGAAGAUGAGGUUGUAGGGAAAUGGGAGGCCAUGAAAAACAUUGAGGAGCCGAAGGCCGAGUCCCUGCCCGUCUAUUCUUUGCUCUUGAUUAUGAUGCUGAUAGUAGCAGUUCAAUUGAGUUGGAAGCCACUGAGCUCUCAGGGCCAAGAUGAUUGAACAGAUGUUUGCCGUGUUUACUUGUAAUGAUCAAUUUCAAAGCCCAAAAUGUGAUGAUAAAGGUACAGAAGUAUGUUUUGGACAU